rnacentral:rRNA from 1 species
AGCGAACGCUGGCGGCAGGCCUAACACAUGCAAGUCGAACGGACCCUUCGGGGUUAGUGGCGGACGGGUGAGUAACACGUGGGAACGUGCCUUUAGGUUCGGAAUAGCUCCUGGAAACGGGUGGUAAUGCCGAAUGUGCCCUUCGGGGGAAAGACUUAUCGCCUUUAGAGCGGCCCGCGUCUGAUUCGCUAGUUGGUGAGGUAAAGGCUCACCAAGGCGACGAUCAGUAGCUGGUCUGAGAGGAUGACCAGCCACAUUGGGACUGAGACACGGCCCAAACUCCUACGGGAGGCAGCAGUGGGGAAUCUUGCGCAAUGGGCGAAAGCCUGACGCAGCCAUGCCGCGUGAAUGAUGAAGGUCUUAGGAUUGUAAAAUUCUUUCACCGGGGACGAUAAUGACGGUACCCGGAGAAGAAGCCCCGGCUAACUUCGUGCCAGCCGCCGCCGUAAUAC